GACGAACGCUGGCGGCGUGCUUAACACAUGCAAGUCGAACGGAAAGGCCCUGCUUUUGUGGGGUGCUCGAGUGGCGAACGGGUGAGUAACACGUGAGUAACCUGUCCUUGUCUUUGGGAUAACUUCAGGAAACUGGGGCUAAUACCGGAUAGGAGCUCCUGCUGCAUGGUGUGGGUUGGAAAGUUUCGGCGGUUGGGGAUGGACUCGAGGGUUAUCAGCUUGUUGGUGGGGUAGUGGCUUACCAGGGCUUUGACGGGUAGCCGGCAUGAGAGGGUGACCGGCGACAUUGGGACUGAGAGAGGGCCCAGACGCCAACGGGAGGCAGCAGGGGAGAAUAUUGCACAAUGGGCGGAAGCCUGAUGCAGCAACGCCGCGUGCGGGAUAACGUCCUUCGGGUGAUAAACCGCUGUCGCCUGUGACGAAGCGUGAGUGACGGUAAUGGGUAAAGAAGCACCGGCUAACUACGUG
rnacentral:rRNA from 1 species